rnacentral:rRNA from 1 species
UACGAGGGGGGCUAGCGUUACUCGGAUUGACUGGGCGUAAAGGGCGCGUAGGCGGUUCGUACAGUCAGACGUGAAAUUCCUGGGCUCAACCUGGGGGCUGCGUUUGAUACGUGCGGGCUUGAGUUCGGAAGAGGGUCGUGGAAUUCCCAGUGUAGAGGUGAAAUUCGUAGAUAUUGGGAAGAACACCGGUGGCGAAGGCGGCGACCUGGUCCGAUACUGACGCUGAGGCGCGAAAGCGUGGGGAGCAAACAGG